UUGUUUGCGGGAGUAGCAUCAUCAAGAUUCACAUGCUGAAUCUGCUGGGAGGUGAUCUGACAUCCAUGCCGGUUCCUGGGAGUGAGAAUCUUGAUGAUGCUGCAUCGGCAAUAAA
rnacentral:pre_miRNA from 1 species